rnacentral:rRNA from 1 species
AUGUCCAAAGCUUCCCUUUCCGGCCAUGGCCGACGCCACCUUGAAGGGGCACCGGGCUGGCUCCAUCGUCAUGGAGGGCACCAUCCUGGAGCUGCGGAGUGUGGGGUACAUCCCCGCCAACGUUGCGACCCGGCCAUCGGAGAAGGACCAGCGAGCACCCACCCCAAGCCGUGGGAGAGGGUCAUUUUCGUUCCCCACCUCAUCAGAGGUAUGGGGUUCCCGCUGCACCCCUUUGUGCAUGGGAUCCUCUACUAUUAUGGGCUGGAUUUCCACCAUCUGGCGCCAAACUCCAUCCUCCACCUCGCAUCCUUCUUAAUCGUUUGCGAGGCCUUCCUCCGCGUCGAGCCCUACUUUGGGCCGUGGCUGAAAACCUUCGGCAUUAAGCUGAAGUCCAGUGGCCGGCGAACCUUUGUCGAAACCAUCAGGAGUGGUAACGUGACUGGUUCUACGUCACCGAGCCAGUCGCCGGCGGUAAGGCCGAAGUCCCAGCCUUCUUGGCUGACCCUUCGAGGAGGCUGGUUUCUUGGAAGAGGAAGGGUAUCGACUGGGGCAACUUCGACGACGUGA